AUUGAACGCUAGCGGCAUGCCUAAUACAUGCAAGUCGAACGAGAGGCGGACGGGUGAGUAAUAUAUUGGAACGUGGCUAAUAGAGGGGGAUAACUAGGCGAAAAAGUGGCUAAUACCGCAUACUAUUGGAUCGGCCGAGACCGGAUUAGCUAGCUGGUGGGGUAAAGGCUCACCAAGGCAACGAUCCGUAGCUGGUCUGAGAGGACGACCAGCCACACUGGGACUGAGACACGGCCCAGACUCCUACGGGAGGCAGCAGUGGGGAAUGUUCGGCAAUGGGGGAAAGCCUGAUCCAGCCAUGCCGCGUGUAUGAGAAGGCCUUCGGAUUGUAAAGUACUGUUGGCAGAGAAGCGGUAUCUGCAGAGUAAGCACCGGCUAACUACGUGCCAGCAGCCGCGGUAAUAC
rnacentral:rRNA from 1 species